rnacentral:rRNA from 1 species
AGAGUUUGAUCAUGGCUCAGAUUGAACGCUGGCGGCAGGCCUAACACAUGCAAGUCGAACGGUAACAGGAAGCAGCUUGCUGCUUCGCUGACGAGUGGCGGACGGGUGAGUAAUGUCUGGGAAACUGCCUGAUGGAGGGGGAUAACUACUGGAAACGGUAGCUAAUACCGCAUAACGUCGCAAGACCAAAGAGGGGGACCUUCGGGCCUCUUGCCAUCGGAUGUGCCCAGAUGGGAUUAGCUAGUAGGUGGGGUAACGGCUCACCUAGGCGACGAUCCCUAGCUGGUCUGAGAGGAUGACCAGCCACACUGGAACUGAGACACGGUCCAGACUCCUACGGGAGGCAGCAGUGGGGAAUAUUGCACAAUGGGCGCAAGCCUGAUGCAGCGACGCCGCGUGCGGGAUGACGGCCUUCGGGUUGUAAACCGCUUUUGAUCGGGAGCAAGCCUUCGGGUGAGUGUACCUUUCGAAUAAGCACCGGCUAACUACGUGCCAGCAGCCGCGGUAAUACGUAGGGUGCAAGCGUUAUCCGGAAUUAUUGGGCGUAAAGGGCUCGUAGGCGGUUCGUCGCGUCCGGUGUGAAAGUCCAUCGCUUAACGGUGGAUCUGCGCCGGGUACGGGCGGGCUGGAGUGCGGUAGGGGAGACUGGAAUUCCCGGUGUAACGGUGGAAUGUGUAGAUAUCGGGAAGAACACCAAUGGCGAAGGCAGGUCUCUGGGCCGUUACUGACGCUGAGGAGCGAAAGCGUGGGGAGCGAACAGGAUUAGAUACCCUGGUAGUCCACGCCGUAAACGGUGGAUGCUGGAUGUGGGGCCCGUUCCACGGGUUCCGUGUCGGAGCUAACGCGUUAAGCAUCCCGCCUGGGGAGUACGGCCGCAAGGCUAAAACUCAAAGAAAUUGACGGGGGCCCGCACAAGCGGCGGAGCAUGCGGAUUAAUUCGAUGCAACGCGAAGAACCUUACCUGGGCUUGACAUGUUCCCGACAGCCGUAGAGAUAUGGCCUCCCUUCGGGGCGGGUUCACAGGUGGUGCAUGGUCGUCGUCAGCUCGUGUCGUGAGAUGUUGGGUUAAGUCCCGCAACGAGCGCAACCCU